rnacentral:rRNA from 1 species
AAAGGAAUAGACGGGGACCCGCACAAGCAGAGGAGCAUGUUGUUUAAUUCGAAGCAACGCGAAAAACCUUACCAAGGCUUGACAUUUAAUGCAUAACCUAGAGAUAGGUGAAAUUGUAGCAAUACAACAUUAAAACAGAUGGUGCAUGGUUGUCGUCAGCUCGUGUCGUGAGAUGUUCGGUUAAGUCCGAUAACGAGCGCAACCCUUGUCAUUAGUUGCCAAUAUUAAGUUAGGAACUCUAAUGAGACUGCCGUAGAUAAUACGGAGGAAGGUGGGGAUGACGUCAAAUCAUCAUGCCUCUUACGCCUUGGGCUACAAACGUGCUACAAUGGCCAUUACAAAGAGAUGCAAUACGGUAACGUGGAGCCAACCUCAUAAAGAUGGUCCCAGUUCGAAUUGUGGGCUGAAACCCGCCCACAUGAAGUCGGAUUUGCUAGUAAUCCCGAAUCAGCAUGUCGGGGUGAAUGCGUUCCCGGGUCUUGUACACACCGCCCGU